CCUACGGGGGGCUGCAGUGGGGAAUAUUGCACAAUGGGGGAAACCCUGAUGCAGCGACGCCGCGUGAGUGAAGAAGCGUUUCGGCGCGUAAAGCUCUGUCAGCGGGGAAGAAACACGGUUCGCGAGAGCCGCGGACGGUACCCGACAAAGAAGCCCCGGCUAACUACGUGCCAGCAGCCGCGGUAAUACGGAGGGGGCAAGCGUUAUCCGGAUUCUAUGGGGGUAAAGGGAGCGUAGACGGCGGGACAAGUCUGGUGUGAAAGGGCGGGGCCCAACCCCGGGACUGCUCUGGAAACUGGCUGGCUGGAGUACAGGAGAGGUAAGUGGAAUUCGUGGUGUAGCGGUGAAAUGCGUAGAUAUUAGGAGGAACACCAGUGGCGAAGGCGGCUUACUAGACUGUAACUGACGUUGAGGCUCGAAAGCGUGGGGAGCAAACAGGAUUAGAUACCCUGGUAGUC
rnacentral:rRNA from 1 species